AUGACCCCAGAAGAAGCAGAAAGUUUGAAGAAGUCCCAAAGUCCAGAAAAAGCCUCCAUACUAAAUCCAUUCCAAGAAUGUGGACAUCCACCACAAGUAGUAUAACAAAAUAACACCAAAAACACCAACCACCAAGAUAAAUUCAAAGUAAAUGUUGUCCCAAUAAUUCCCAAUUGAAACUUGUACACAAUCAACCAACUUAUCAACACAUGGACUACAAAUGCCACAAAAUUAGCCCAAGCAAUCACAUUGUUUUUCAAUUGGCUUUGCAAGAACCUUUGCAAUGGAAAUUGAAAUGCAAAGCAAAAGUGUAAUGGUAUAAAGGCUAAAACUACAACUCCAGAGAGUUGUGCCACAUCUUUUGGUUGCCCUAAAAAUAUCAAGACUGGGGUUGCAAAGAAAAAUAUUGGUAACAUUAUGAUGCAACAUAAGAAUAGUACUAUCCAUGAACGUUGCAAAUAUACACCUAACAUAUAGUAUUUUUUAGCACCAAAUGCUUGUCCACAUAGUGUUUCCAAUGCACUUGCCAUACCUAGCAUGAGUCCGAAAUCGAAACCAAGAACAACAUUACUAGCAAUGGACAUAGCUGCAAGUUCAAGAUCACCAAGAUGGCCAGCAAAAGCUUGAGUGAUAACAAACAUUGAAUAAGAAACUAUUCUACUAAAGAUGGCUGGCCCAACUAUGUGCCAUAGCUUCUUUGUUUCUAUCCAAAAUCUUAAACCAAAACUUUGAUCAUUUUGUUCUAAAUAAUUAAUAUUAUUUGUUGAAACAUAAUCUAAUAAGGGCACUUUAUUUUCAUCUAUUAAUUUCCCAUUGCUAGACAUUUUUU
rnacentral:misc_RNA from 1 species